rnacentral:lncRNA from 1 species
UUGUGGUGUUUUUGAACUCGAGUUUUUUGUUUAUUCAACUUCAGUUUUUGGCGUGUUUGGACUUGAGUUUGUGUUUUUUUUUAACUUGAGGUUGUGGUUUUUUGAACUUCAGUUUGUGAAAAUUGUUAAACCUGAGGAUUGGGUGGUGGUUGAACUUAAAACUUUGCCAUUUGUUGAACUUUAGUUUGUGGUGUUUGUUGAACUCCAGCUUGUGUCGUGUUUGAACUUGAGGCUGUGGUAUUUUUGAACUUGAGUUUGUGUGUUUUUUGAACUUGAGUUUGUGGCGUGUUUGAACUUGAGAUUGUGGCGUGUUUGAACUUGAGUUUGUGUGUUUUUUGAACUUGAGUUUGUGGUGUGUUUGAACUUGGUUGGUUGAACUUAAAAUCUUUUACGUAUGUUGAACUUGAGUUUUUGGUGUUCGUUAAACUUGAGUUUGUUCCGUGUUUGAACUUGAGUUUGUGGUGUUUUUGAACUUGAGGUUGUUGCAAUUGUGAAACUUGAGAUUUGGGUCUUGGUUAAACUUAAAAUUUUGACAUUUGUUGAACUUGAGUUUGUGGUGUUUUUGAACUUGAGGUUGUGGUGUUUUUGAACUUGAGUUUUUGGCGUGUUUGAACUUGAGGUUGUUGCAAUUGUUAAAUUGAGAUUCGGGUGUUGGUUGAACUUCAACUUUGAGGUUUGUUGAACUUGAGUCUGUGCUGUUUGUUGAACUUUGGUUUGUGUCGUUUUUGAACUCGAGUUUGUGGUGUUUUUGAACUUGAGUUUGUGGUGUUUGUUUAACUUAAGUUUGUGUCGUGUUUUAACUAGAGGUUGUGGUGUUUUUUUUAACUUGAGGUUGUGGAAAUUGUUAAACUUGAGAAUCGGGUGUUGGUUCAACUUGGGUUUCUGUUGUUUUUGAACUUGAGGUUGUGGAAAUUGUUAAACUUCAGAAUCAGGUGUUGGUUGAACUUGAGUUUGUGUGUUUGUUGAACUUGAGUUUUUGUCGUGGUUGAACUUCAGUUUGUGGUGUUUUUGAACUUGAGUUUGUGUGUUUGUUGAUCUUGAGUUUGUGGUGUUUUUGAACUUGAGUUUGUUUUUUUGAACUUGAGAUUGUGGAAAUUGUUAAACUUGAGAUUUGGGUGUUGGUUGAACUUAAAAGUUUGACAUUUGUUGAACUUGAGUUUGUGUCUUGUUUGAACUUAAAGGUUGUGGUGUUUUUGAACUUGAAGUUGCUUGUUUGUUUAACUUGAGUUUGUGUGUUUUUUGAACCUGAGUUUAAUGUUUCUGAACUUGAGGUUGUGGCAAUUGUUGAACUUGAGUCUGUGGUUUUUAGUGAACUUUAGUUGGUUGCAAUUGUUGAACAUGAGUUUGUGCAGUUUUUAUGAACUUGAGUUUGAUGAAGUUUAUCCCAAUCUGACCUCUCCAACCAUAUCCUGCUUUCUUGCCUCAAGUAACCUCCAAACAUCCAAAACAUAUCUGUUAUUUUUCCCCCACAUGUUUGAACUUGAGUUUGUGGUCUUUUUGAACUUGAGUUUGUGGUGUUAUUGAACUUGAGGUUAUGGAAAUUGUGAAACCUAAGAAUUGGGUAUUAGUUGAACUUGAGUUUGUGGUGUUUUUGAACUUGAGGUUAUGGAAAUUGUUAAACCUCAGAAUUGGGUAUUGGUUCAACUUGAGUUUGUGUAGUGUUUGAACUUCAGUUUGUGGUGUUUUUUGAGCUUGAGGUUGUGGUUUUUGUUGAACUUGAUAUUGUGUCGUGUUUGAACUUGAGGUUGUGGUGUUUUUGAACUUGAGUUUUUUUGUUUAUUCAACUUCAGUUUUUGGCGUGUUUGAACUUGAGUUUGUGGUUUUUUUAACUUGAGGUUGUGGUUUUUUGAACUUCAGUUUUUGGAAAUUGUUAAACUUGAGGAUUGGGUGUUGGUUGAACUUGAGUUUGUGUGUUUGUUGAACUUUAGUUUGUGGUGUGUUUGAACUUGGUUGGUUGAACUUAAAUUUUUUUACAUAUGUUGAACUUGAGUUUUUGGUGUUCGUCAAACUUGAGUUUGUUUCGUGUUUGAACUUGAGUUUGUGGUGUUUUUGAACUUGAGUUUGUUUGUUUGUUGAUCUUGAGUUUGUGGUGUUUUUGAACUUGAGUUUGUUUUUUUGAACUUGAGAUUGUGGAAAUUGUUAAACUUGAGAUUUGGGUGUUGGUUGAACUUAAAAAUUUGACAUUUGUUGAACUUGAGUUUGUGGUUUUUGUUGAACUUGAUAUUGUGUCGUGUUUGAACUUGAGGUUGUGGUGUUUUUGAACUCGAGUUUUUUGUUUAUUCAACUUCAGUUUUUGGCGUGUUUGGACUUGAGUUUGUGUUUUUUUUAACUUGAGGUUGUGGUUUUUUGAACUUCAGUUUGUGAAAAUUGUUAAACCUGAGGAUUGGGUGGUGGUUGAACUUAAAACUUUGCCAUUUGUUGAACUUUAGUUUGUGGUGUUUGUUGAACUCCAGCUUGUGUCGUGUUUGAACUUGAGGCUGUGGUAUUUUUGAACUUGAGUUUGUGUGUUUUUUGAACUUGAGUUUGUGGCGUGUUUGAACUUGAGAUUGUGGCGUGUUUGAACUUGAGUUUGUGUGUUUGUUGAACUUGAGUUUGUGGUGUGUUUGAACUUGGUUGGUUGAACUUAAAAUCUUUUACGUAUGUUGAACUUGAGUUUUUGGUGUUCGUUAAACUUGAGUUUGUUCCGUGUUUGAACUUGAGUUUGUGGUGUUUUUGAACUUGAGGUUGUUGCAAUUGUGAAACUUGAGAUUUGGGUCUUGGUUAAACUUAAAAUUUUGACAUUUGUUGAACUUGAGUUUGUGGUGUUUUUGAACUUGAGGUUGUGGUGUUUUUGAACUUGAGUUUUUGGCGUGUUUGAACUUGAGGUUGUUGCAAUUGUUAAAUUGAGAUUCGGGUGUUGGUUGAACUUCAACUUUGAGGUUUGUUGAACUUGAGUCUGUGCUGUUUGUUGAACUUUAGUUUGUGUCGUUUUUGAACUUGAGUUUGUGGUGUUUUUGAACUUGAGUUUGUGGUGUUUGUUUAACUUAAGUUUGUGUCAUGUUUUAAAUUGAGUUUGUGGUGUUUUUGAACUUGAGGUUUGUGGAAAUUGUUAAACUUGAGAAUCGGGUGUUGGUUCAACUUGGGUUUCUGUUGUUUUUGAACUUGAGGUUGUGGAAAUUGUUAAACUUCAGAAUCAGGUGUUGGUUGAACUUGAGUUUGUGUGUUUGUUGAACUUGAGUUUUUGUCGUGGUUGAACUUCAGUUUGUGGUGUAUUUGAACUUGAGUUUGUGUGUUUGUUGAUCCUGAGUUUGUGGUGUUUUUGAACUUGAGUUUGUUGUUUUUGAACUUGAGAUUGUGGAAAUUGUUAAACUUGAGAUUUGGGUGUUGGUUGAACUUAAAAGUUUGACAUUUGUUGAACUUGAGUUUGUGUUGUUUUUGAACUUGAGGUUGUGGCAAUUUCUAAACUUAAGAUUUGGGUGUUGGUUGAACUUAAAACUUUGACAUAUGUUGAAUUUGAGUUUGUGGUUUUUGUUGAACUUGAGUUUGUGUCAUGUUUGAACUUGAGUUUGUGGUGUUUGUUGAACUUGAGUUUGUGUCAUGUUUUAAUUUGAGUUUGUGGUGUUUUUGAACUUGAGUUUUUGGUGUUUUUGAACUUGAGGUAAUGGAAAUUGUUAAACCUAAGAAUUGGGUAUUGGUCAAACUUGAGUUUGUGUUGUUUUUGAACUUGAGUUUGUGUAGUGUUUGAACUUCAGUUUGUGGUGUUUUUUGAGCUUGAGGUUGUGGUGUUUUUGAACUUGAGUUUGUGGCGUGUUUGAACUUGAGGUUGAGGAAAUUGUUAAACUUGAGAUUUGGUUUUUGAUUGAACUUGAGUUUGUUUCGUGUUUGAUCUUGAGGUUGUGGUGUUUUUGAACUUGAGGUUGCUUGUUUGUUUAACUUGAGUUCGUGUGUUUUUUUAACUUGAGUUUGUUGUUUCUGAACUUGAGGUUUUGGCAAUUGUUGAACUUGAGUCUGUGGUUUUUAGUGAACUUUAGUUGGUUGCAAUUGUUGAACAUGAGUUUCUGGCGUUUGUUGAACUUGAGUUUGUGAUGUGUUUGAACUUGAGUUUGUGUUAUUUUUGAACUUGAGGUUGUGGCAAUUUCUAAAAUUGAGAUUUGGCUGUUGGUUGAACUUAAAAGUUUGACAUUUGUUGAACUUCAGUUUGUGUUUUUUGUUGAACUUGAGUUUGUUUCGUGUUUGAUCUCGAGGUUGUGGUGUUUGUUGAACUUGAGUUUUUGUGUUUGUUGAACUUGAGUUUUUGGUGUGUUUGAACUUGAGUUUGUGUUUUUUUUAAAUUGAGGUUGUGGUUUUUUGAACUUCAGUUUGUGAAAAUUGUUAAACUUGAGGAUUGGGUGGUGGUUGAACUUAAAACUUUGCCAUUUGUUGAACUUGAGUUUGUGGUGUUUUUUGAACUCCAGCUUGUGUCGUGUUUGAACUUGAGGCUGUGGUAUUUUUGAACUUGAGUUUGUGUGUUUUUUGAACUUGAGUUUGUGGCGUGUUUGAACUUGAGAUUGUGGCGUGUUUGAACUUGAGUUUGUGGUGGUUUUUGAACUUAAGGUUGUGAAAAUUGUUAAAACUUAAGAAUCAGGUGUUGGUUGAACUUGCGUUUGUGGUUUUUGUUGAACUUGAAUUUGUGCUUUGUUUGAACUUGAGUUUAUGUUUUUUUGUACUUGAGUUUGUGUUGUUUUUGAACUUGAGGUUGUGGAAUUUGUAAAAACUUGAGAAUCAGGUGUUGGUUGAACUUGAGUUUGUGGUUUUUGUUGAACUUGAAUUUGUGUCGUUUUUGAGCUUGAGGUUGUGGUGUUUUUGAACUUGAGUUUGCAUGUUUGUUGAACUUGAGUUUGUGUGUUUUUUGAACUUGAGUUUGUUGUUUCUGAACUUGAGGUUGUUGCAAUUGUUGAACUUGAGUCUGUUGUUUUUAGUGAACUUUAGUUGGUGGCAAUUGUUGAACUUGAGUUUGUGGCAUUUGUUGAACUUGAAUUUGUGAUGUGUUUAAACAUGAUUUUGUGGUGUUUUUGAACUCGAGUUUGUGGUGUUUUUGAACUUGAAGUUGUGGAAAUUGUUAAACUUGAGAAUUGGGUAUUGGUUGAACUUGAGUUUGUGUGUUUGUUGAACUUGAGUUUGUGUCGUGUUUGAACUUCAGUUUGUGGUGUUUUUUGAACUUGAGGUUGUGGUGUUUUUGAACUUGAGUUUGUGUUGUUUUUGAACUUGAGGUUGUGGAAAUUGUUAAACUUGAGAAUUGGGUAUUGGUUGAACUUGAGUUUGUGGUUUUUGGUGAACUUGAGUUUGCGUCGUGUUUUAACUUGAGUUUGUGGUGUUUUUGAACUUGAGUUUAUGGUGUUUUCUAACUUGAGCUUGUGGAAAUAUUUAAACUUGAGAAUUGUGUAUUGGAGAAGUGAAGUCUGACAUGCCGUGUGUCGAUUUAACUGGUGUUACGUUAACUGGUGACACUUCAAGCAGAUGUUCAAGAGGCGUGGCUUUUGAGGGCCUUUGUUUACAUUCCAUCUAUCACUUACCGUCCAACUACACACUCGGACCGAUGUAUCAAAUUAAAGGGCCUUUUGAGACAUACAUGGCAGGGAGAAUGAGUUUAUUGAGUCAAAGAUGAAGAUGCAAGCACAAAAUAUAAGAAGAAUGAAAUCGCUGAUUGUGCAAAUGCCUGUUCAAAAUAUAGCCGACACCGAGUGAGAAAUUUAACAAACUUUUUCAUUGUGAGAGGCACUUAUUUCACGGUAUCUCUAUGAUCAUUCGGUGCCUGGGUAGUACUCACAGUACCACAGGUGGUGUGAAAAUGUUUGUGGGAUGCAUUUAAAUACAGCGCGAGGUCAGGUGUACUCUCCAUGUUACCUGUGUUAUCUCGUGACAGCCUAUACAC